GACGAACGCUGGCGGCGUGCUUAACACAUGCAAGUCGAACGGAAGGGCCCUGCUCUUGUGGGGUUCUCGAGUGGCGAACGGGUGAGUAACACGUGAGUAACCUGCCCUUGACUUUGGGAUAACUUCAGGAAACUGGGGCUAUUACCGGAUAGGAGCUCCUGCUGCAUGGUGGGGGUUGGAAAGUUUCGGCGGUGGGGGAUGGACUCGCGGCUUAUCAGCUGGUUGGUGGGGUAGUGGCUUACCAAGGCUUUGACGGGUAGCCGGCCUGAGAGGGUGACCGGCCACAUUGGGACUGAGAUACGGCCCAGACUCCUACGGGAGGCAGCAGUGGGGAAUCUUGCACAAUGGGGGGAAGCCUGAUGCAGCAACGCCGCGUGCGGGAUGACGGCCUUCGGGUUGUAAACCGCUUUCGCCUGUGACGAAGCGUGAGUGACGGUAAUGGGUAAAGAAGCACCGGCUAACUACGUG
rnacentral:rRNA from 1 species